UACGUAGGGUGCAAGCGUUAAGCGGAAUUACUGGGCGUAAAGCGUGCGCAGGCGGCUUUGCAAGACAGAUGUGAAAUCCCCGGGCUUAACCUGGGAACUGCAUUUGUGACUGCAUGGCUGGAGUGCGGCAGAGGGGGAUGGAAUUCCGCGUGUAGCAGUGAAAUGCGUAGAUAUGCGGAGGAACACCGAUGGCGAAGGCAAUCCCCUGGGCCUGCACUGACGCUCAUGCACGAAAGCGUGGGGAGCAAACAGG
rnacentral:rRNA from 1 species